rfam:Schistosoma haematobium scaffold738_2, whole genome shotgun sequence.
AUCCAGCUGACGAGUCCCGAAUAGGACGAAACGCGUGUCCUAGAU